rnacentral:rRNA from 1 species
GAUGAACGCUGGCGGCGUGCCUAAUACAUGCAAGUCGAGCGAACAGACGAGGAGCUUGCUCCUCUGACGUUAGCGGCGGACGGGUGAGUAACACGUGGAUAACCUACCUAUAAGACUGGGAUAACUUCGGGAAACCGGAGCUAAUACCGGAUAAUAUAUUGAACCGCAUGGUUCAAUAGUGAAAGACGGUUUUGCUGUCACUUAUUGAUGGAUCCGCGCCGCAUUAGCUAGUUGGUAAGGUAACGGCUUACCAAGGCAACGAUGCGUAGCCGACCUGAGAGGGUGAUCGGCCACACUGGAACUGAGACACGGUCCAGACUCCUACGGGAGGCAGCAGUAGGGAAUCUUCCGCAAUGGGCGAAAGCCUGACGGAGCAACGCCGCGUGAGUGAUGAAGGUCUUCGGAUCGUAAAACUCUGUUAUUAGGGAAGAACAAAUGUGUAAGUAACUAUGCACGUCUUGACGGUACCUAAUCAGAAAGCCACGGCUAACUACGU